GCCACCGUAGCUCAGUUGGUAGAGCGACGCACUCGUAACGCGUAGGUCGCCAGUUCAAUUCUGGCCGGUGGCUCCA
rnacentral:tRNA from 1 species